rnacentral:rRNA from 1 species
AGUGAACGCUGGCGGUAGGCCUAACACAUGCAAGUCGAACGGCAGCACAGUAAGAGCUUGCUCUUACGGGUGGCGAGUGGCGGACGGGUGAGGAAUACAUCGGAAUCUACUUUUUCGUGGGGGAUAACGUAGGGAGACUUACGCUAAUACCGCAUACGACCUACGGGUGAAAGCAGGGGAUCUUCGGACCUUGCGCGAUUGAAUGAGCCGAUGUCGGAUUAGCUAGUUGGCGGGGUAAAGGCCACCAAGGCGACGAUCCGUAGCUGGUCUGAGAGGAUGAUCAGCCACACUGGAACUGAGACACGGUCCAGACUCCUACGGGAGGCAGCAGUGGGGAAUAUUGGACAAUGGGCGCAAGCCUGAUCCAGCCAUACCGCGUGGGUGAAGAAGGCCUUCGGGUUGUAAAGCCCUUUUGUUGGGAAAGAAAAGCAGCAGGUUAAUACCCCGCUGUUCUGACGGUACCCAAAGAAUAAGCACCGGCUAACUUCGUG